UGCCUAAUACAUGCAAGUCGAACGGUAAGGCCCUUUCGGGGGUACACGAGUGGCGAACGGGUGAGUAACACGUGGGUGAUCUGCCCUGCACUUUGGGAUAAGCCUGGGAAACUGGGUCUAAUACCGAAUACACCUCGCUGGCUGCAUGGUUGGUGGGGGAAAGCUUUUGCGGUGUGGGAUGGGCCCGCGGCCUAUCAGCUUGUUGGUGGGGUGAUGGCCUACCAAGGCGACGACGGGUAGCCGGCCUGAGAGGGUGUCCGGCCACACUGGGACUGAGAUACGGCCCAGACUCCUACGGGAGGCAGCAGUGGGGAAUAUUGCACAAUGGGCGCAAGCCUGAUGCAGCGACGCCGCGUGAGGGAUGACGGCCUUCGGGUUGUAAACCUCUUUCAAUAGGGACGAAGCGCAAGUGACGGUACCUAUAGAAGAAGCACCGGCCAACUACGUGCCAGCAGCCGCGGUAAUACGUAGGGUGCGAGCGUUGUCCGGAAUUACUGGGCGUAAAGAGCUCGUAGGUGGUUUGUCGCGUUGUUCGUGAAAACCGGGGGCUUAACCCUCGGCGUGCGGGCGAUACGGGCAGACUGGAGUACUGCAGGGGAGACUGGAAUUCCUGGUGUAGCGGUGGAAUGCGCAGAUAUCAGGAGGAACACCGGUGGCGAAGGCGGGUCUCUGGGCAGUAACUGACGCUGAGGAGCGAAAGCGUGGGGAGCGAACAGGAUUAGAUACCCUGGUAGUCCACGCCGUAAACGGUGGGUACUAGGUGUGGGUUUCCUUCCUUGGGAUCCGUGCCGUAGCUAACGCAUUAAGUACCCCGCCUGGGGAGUACGGCCGCAAGGCUAAAACUCAAAGGAAUUGACGGGGGCCCGCACAAGCGGCGGAGCAUGUGGAUUAAUUCGAUGCAACGCGAAGAACCUUACCUGGGUUUGACAUACACUGGAAAGCCAUGGAGACAUGGCCUCCGCAAGGCCGGUGUACAGGUGGUGCAUGGCUGUCGUCAGCUCGUGUCGUGAGAUGUUGGGUUAAGUCCCGCAACGAGCGCAACCCUUGUCUCAUGUUGCCAGCGGGUUAUGCCGGGGACUCAUGAGAGGCUGCCGGGGUCAACUCGGAGGAAGGUGGGGACGACGUCAAGUCAUCAUGCCCCUUAUGUCCAGGGCUUCACACAUGCUACAAUGGCCGGUACAGAGGGCUGCUAAGCCGUGAGGUGGAGCGAAUCCCACAAAGCCGGUCUCAGUUCGGAUCGGGGUCUGCAACUCGACCCCGUGAAGUCGGAGUCGCUAGUAAUCGCAGAUCAGCAACGCUGCGGUGAAUACGUUCCCGGGCCUUGCACACACCGCCCGUCAC
rnacentral:rRNA from 1 species